rnacentral:rRNA from 1 species
GACAGAGGGUGCAAACGUUGUUCGGAAUUACUGGGCGUAAAGCGUGUGUAGGCGGUUUGCUAAGUCGGGUGUGAAAGCCCCGGGCUCAACCCGGGAAGUGCACUCGAAACUGGCAGGCUAGAGUACUGGAGAGGUUGGUGGAAUUCUCGGUGUAGAGUUGAAAUUCGUAGAUAUCGAGAGGAACACCGGUGGCGAAGGCGGCCAACUGGACAGAUACUGACGCUGAGACACGAAAGCGUGGGGAGCAAACAGG